rnacentral:rRNA from 1 species
AACGAACGCUGGCGGCAGGCCUAACACAUGCAAGUCGAGCGAGGACUUCGGUUCUAGCGGCGGACGGGUGAGUAACGCGUGGGAAUGUGCCCUUCUCUACGGAAUAGCCCUGGGAAACUGGGAGUAAUACCGUAUACGCCCUAUUGGGGAAAGAUUUAUCGGAGAAGGAUCAGCGCGCGUUGGAUUAGGUAGUUGGUGGGGUAAUGGCCUACCAAGCCGACGAUCCAUAGCUGGUUUGAGAGGAUGAUCAGCCACACUGGGGCUGAGACACGGCCCAGACUCCUACGGGAGGGAGCAGAGGGGAAUCUUAGACGAGGGGGGCAACCCUGAUCUAGCCAUGCCGGGUGAGUGAUGAAGGCCGUAGGGUAGUAAAGCUCUUUCAGCUGGGAAGAUAAUGACGGUACCAGCAGAAGAAGCCCCGGCUAACUCCGUG